GGAAGGAAGAGAGAGUAUGGCAGAACUGGACACCUCCUCCAGAGAAGGCAAGGAAGGGAGGAGGAGAGAGGAAGGCCGGGCAGCCUCAAGCCUCACUCAGCACUGAGCCCAGUGCUGGUUGAUGAGCUAAAAAUAUAACGACAGACAGGAAACGCGGGGCAUGAAUAUGGAUGAAAUUCCUCACUGAGACCACAAGGGUACGGUUCAAUUAUUUGCCAUAUAAAGUUGAAAAUACUGUCGUAGGCUUCAGAUUCUUCAGUGCACUUAUUGGAACUGAACUUGAUGUGCCUGGCUCCUGCAAACACAGGCUGGUGCCACCACUGGCUGAGAUGAUGUUGCUCUGUCUUCUGGAUCCAUCGCUGAGAAUUCAAAGCUCUCGUAAGAGGGCCUGCGGUGGGGAGGACUGCUAUCAAUGCCAUUGUCUUUUGCUUAGAAUUUGUUUCUUAAGCCGCCCUAGCAUCUUCCCCUCUGCAGAUUUGCUUGUCUGCCAGAAUCCCAAAUCAACCUGAUGGCUUAGGGAUUUCACUCUAUGAUCUGGAAAUCCAUGUUCCUUCUUCCCCUUCCCCACUCCUGGGAGUGGGCUCCUUUUUUCAGCCAUCACACGGACCACAUUCAGGGCUGAUGGGGGGAGCGUUUCAGCUGGGCAGGGGCAGAUGGCCGCAUUGUCGUUAAUGUGUAGUGAUGGGAGAAUCCCAAAGGUGCUGGUGGCGUAAUCUGGAGACGGCUGGAAAGCCGGACUGACGUGUUUUCUGAAGCGUCUCGGCAGCCUUUGGAGGCAGCUUCGUGUGAGUGCGUUUAACUACCAUCUUUGUCCCUUGUUCUCAUGCCAGCCUCCUCUGGAUGCCUACCAGAUUCCUUCCUGCCUGUGUGACUCCAUGCCCUGUCUCUGUCACUCCUUGGAACUGCAUGGCAGGGACUCCUUCCUUGUGUGAUGGGGGAGCAGGCACUGAGGAGGGAAGAAGGGGCGGGGCAGAGCUAGGCAGCUGGUGCCGGCCACCACCUUUCCCUUCUGAGCCCACCCCCUUCCCUUUGCCUCUGCUUGCUUUUGCCUCCAGUUCCUUCCAAUCCAGCUUGCCAUCGUGCCAGGGCAGGCCCAGCAAGAGGAGGGCACCAGCCAGGCCUCUGGGAGGGCAUCUGCUUCGGCUGAUAAGUACCCCUGUCUUUCUCCUCCCCUUCAGCAGGGCGGAG
rnacentral:lncRNA from 1 species